GAUGAACGCUGGCGGCGUGCCUAAUACAUGCAAGUCGAGCGAACGGACGAGAAGCUUGCUUCUCUGAUGUUAGCGGCGGACGGGUGAGUAACACGUGGAUAACCUACCUAUAAGACUGGGAUAACUUCGGGAAACCGGAGCUAAUACCGGAUAAUAUUUUGAACCGCAUUGUUCAAAAGUGAAAGACGGUCUUGCUGUCACUUAUAGAUGGAUCCGCGCUGCAUUAGCUAGUUGGUAAGGUAACGGCUUACCAAGGCAACGAUGCAUAGCCGACCUGAGAGGGUGGUCGGCCACCCUGGAACUGAGACACGGUCCAGACUCCUACGGGAGGCAGCAGCAGGGAAUCUUACGCGAUGGGCGAAAGCCUGACGGAGCAACGCCGGCGGAGUGAUGAAGGUCUUCGGAUCGUAAAGCUCUGUUGUUAGGGAAGAACAUAUGUGUAAGUAACUGUGCACAUCUUGACGGUACCUAAUCAGAAAGCCACGGCUAACUACGUG
rnacentral:rRNA from 1 species